ACGACGUUGAUAGGCUGGGUGUGUAAGCGUAGCGAUACGUUGAGCUAACCAGUACUAAUGAACCGUGAGGCUUAACCUUACAACGCCAAAG
rnacentral:rRNA from 1 species